rnacentral:rRNA from 1 species
ACGUACACUCCUACGGGAGGCAGCAGUGGGGAAUUUUGGACAAUGGGCGCAAGCCUGAUCCAGCCAUGCCGCGUGCGGGAAGAAGGCCUUCGGGUUGUAAACCGCUUUUGUCAGGGAAGAAAAGGUUCUGGCUAAUACCUGGGACUCAUGACGGUACCUGAAGAAUAAGCACCGGCUAACUACGUGCCAGCAGCCGCGGGAAUACGUAGGGUGCAAGCGUUAAUCGGAAUUACUGGGCGUAAAGCGUGCGCAGGCGGUUAUGCAAGACAGAGGUGAAAUCCCCGGGCUCAACCUGGGAACUGCCUUUGUGACUGCAUGGCUAGAGUACGGUAGAGGGGGAUGGAAUUCCGCGUGUAGCAGUGAAAUGCGUAGAUAUGCGGAGGAACACCGAUGGCGAAGGCAAUCCCCUGGACCUGUACUGACGCUCAUGCACGAAAGCGUGGGGAGCAAACAGGAUUAGAUACCCCGGUAGUCCC